rnacentral:rRNA from 1 species
UUAAAGGAAUUGACGGGGCCCGCACAAGCGGAGGAGCAUGUGGUUUAAUUCGAUGAUACGCGAGGAACCUUACCUGGGCUCGAACGUAAGAUGACUGUAGGUGAAAGCUUACAUCUCUUCGGAGCAUUUUACGAGGUGCUGCAUGGUUGUCGUCAGCUCGUGCCGUGAGGUGUCGGGUUAAGUCCCAUAACGAGCGCAACCCCUACCUUUAGUUGCCAUCAGGUUAAGCUGGGGACUCUAAAGGAACUGCCUACGCAAGUAGUGAGGAAGGCGGGGAUGACGUCAAAUCAGCACGGCCCUUACGUCCAGGGCUACACACGUGCUACAAUGGCCGAUACAGAGGGCAGCUACCUGGUGACAGGAUGCAAAUCUCCAAAGUCGGUCUCAGUUCGGAUCGGAGUCUGCAACCCGACUCCGUGAAGUUGGAUUCGCUAGUAAUCGCGCAUCAGCCAUGGCGCGGUGAAUACGUUCCCGGGCCUU